rnacentral:tRNA from 1 species
GGAAGUGUGCCCGAAAGUUACGGAUCUCCUUGAUAGGGAGACCUAUAGGGGUUCAAACCCCCUCACUUCCUUU